rnacentral:rRNA from 1 species
CCCUUAGAUGUUCUGGGCGGCCCGCGCACUACAUUGGCACUAGCAAAGAGAUCCUAGAUUGAAUUCUUUGGGGUAUUCUUCUAAAUGGUGUCGUGACUGGGAUAAAUCCUUGUAAUUAUUGGUUUUGAACGAGGAAUUCCUUGUAAUCGCGGUUUAUCAGCUCGCCUUGAAUGCGUCCCUGCCCUUUGUACACACCGCCCGUCGCUCCUACCGAUGGAUCGUCCGGUGAAGCUCACGGAGUGACUGUUCACGCAACGGUUUACGAAGUGAAAUGGACCUCACGAUUUAGAGGAAGGAGAAGUCGUAACA